rnacentral:rRNA from 1 species
GAUGGACGCUGGCGGCGUGCCUAAUACAUGCAAGUCGAGCGAACGGACGAGAAUCUUGCUUCUCUGAUGUUAGCGGCGGACGGGUGAGUAACACGUGGAUAACCUACCUAUAAGACUGGGAUAACUUCGGGAAACCGGAGCUAAUACCGGAUGAUAUUUUGAACCGCAUGGUUCAAAAGUGAAAGACGGUCUUGCUGUCACGUAUAGAUGGAUCCGCGCUGCAUUAGCUAGUUGGUAAGGUAACGGCUUACCAAGGCAACGAUGCAUAGCCGACCUGAGAGGGUGAUCGGCCACACUGGAACUGAGACACGGUCCAGACUCCUACGGGAGGCAGCAGUAGGGAAUCUUCCGCAAUGGGCGGAAGCCUGACGGAGCAACGCCGCGUGAGUGAUGAAGGUCUUCGGAUCGUAAAGCUCUGUUAUUAGGGAAGAACAUAUGUGUAAGUAACUGUGCACAUCUUGACGGUACCUAAUCAGAAAACCACGGCUAACUACGUG